AGAGUUUGAUCAUGGCUCAGAUUGAACGCUGGCGGCAGGCCUAACACAUGCAAGUCGAACGGUAACAGGAAGAAGCUUGCUUCUUUGCUGACGAGUGGCGGACGGGUGAGUAAUGUCUGGGAAACUGCCUGAUGGAGGGGGAUAACUACUGGAAACGGUAGCUAAUACCGCAUAACGUCGCAAGACCAAAGAGGGGGACCUUCGGGCCUCUUGCCAUCGGAUGUGCCCAGAUGGGAUUAGCUAGUAGGUGGGGUAACGGCUCACCUAGGCGACGAUCCCUAGCUGGUCUGAGAGGAUGACCAGCCACACUGGAACUGAGACACGGUCCAGACUCCUACGGGAGGCAGCAGUGGGGAAUCUUCCGCAAUGGGCGAAAGCCUGACGGAGCAACGCCGCGUGAACGAUGAAGGUCUUAGGAUCGUAAAGUUCUGUUGUUAGGGACGAAGGGUAAGAAUCAUAAUAAGGUUUUUAUUUGACGGUACCUAACGAGGAAGCCACGGCUAACUACGUGCCAGCAGCCGCGGUAAUACGUAGGCGGCAAGCGUUGUCCGGAAUUAUUGGGCGUAAAGGGAGCGCAGGCGGGAAACUAAGCGGAUCUUAAAAGUGCGGGGCUCAACCCCGUGAUGGGGUCCGAACUGGUUUUCUUGAGUGCAGGAGAGGAAAGCGGAAUUCCCAGUGUAGCGGUGAAAUGCGUAGAUAUUGGGAAGAACACCAGUGGCGAAGGCGGCUUUCUGGACUGUAACUGACGCUGAGGCUCGAAAGCUAGGGUAGCGAACGGGAUUAGAUACCCCGGUAGUCCUAGCCGUAAACGAUGGAUACUAGGUGUGGGAGGUAUCGACUCCUUCCGUGCCGGAGUUAACGCAAUAAGUAUCCCGCCUGGGGAGUACGGCCGCAAGGUUGAAACUCAAAGGAAUUGACGGGGGCCCGCACAAGCAGUGGAGUAU
rnacentral:rRNA from 1 species